rnacentral:rRNA from 1 species
GACGAACCGUGCGAGCGUUGUUCGGAAUCACUGGGCUUAAAGGGCGCGUAGGCGGACCUCCAAGUCCGGGGUGAAAUCUUUCGGCUUAACCGGAAAAGUGCCUUGGAUACUGGGGGUCUCGAGGGAGGCAGGGGCGGAUGGAACUUCCGGUGGAGCGGUGAAAUGCGUUGAUAUCGGAAGGAACGCCGGUGGCGAAAGCGAUCCGCUGGACCUCUACUGACGCUGAGGCGCGAAAGCCAGGGGAGCAAACGGG